rnacentral:rRNA from 1 species
GCCUACGGGCGGCUGCAGUGGGGAAUAUUGGACAAUGGGCGCAAGCCUGAUCCAGCAAUGCCGCGUGUGUGAAGAAGGCCUUCGGGUUGUAAAGCACUUUUGUUAGGGAGGAAAGUCUUGUAGCUAAUAACUGCGAGAUAUGACGUUACCUAAAGAAUCAGCACCGGCUAACUCUGUGCCAGCAGCCGCGGUAAUACAGAGGGUGCCAGCGUUAAUCGGAAUUACUGGGCGUAAAGGGUCUGUAGGCGGAUUAUUAAGUCGGAUGUGAAAUUCCCGGGCUCAACCUGGGAACGGCAUUCGAUACUGGUAGUCUAGAGUGUGCAAGAGGAUGGGGGAAUUCCUGGUGUAGCAGUGAAAUGCGUAGAGAUCAGGAGGAACAUCAAUGGCGAAGGCACCUUUCUGGGGCAACACUGACGCUGAGAGACGAAAGCGUGGGGAGCAAACAGGAUUAGAUACCCCAGUAGUCCA